GAUGAACGCUGGCGGCGUGCCUAAUACAUGCAAGUCGAGCGAACAGACGAGGAGCUUGCUCCUCUGACGUUAGCGGCGGACGGGUGAGUAACACGUGGAUAACCUACCUAUAAGACUGGGAUAACUUCGGGAAACCGGAGCUAAUACCGGAUAAUAUAUUGAACCGCAUGGUUCAAUAGUGAAAGACGGUUUUGCUGUCACUUAUAGAUGGAUCCGCGCCGCAUUAGCUAGUUGGUAAGGUAACAGCUUACCAAGGCAACGAUGCGUAGCCGACCUGAGAGGGUGAUCGGCCACAUUGGAACUGAGGCACGGUCCAGACUCCUACGGGAGGCAGCAGUAGGGAAUCUUCCGCAAUGGUCGAAAGCCUGACGGAGCAACGCCGCGUGAGUGAUGAAGGUCUUCGGAUCGUAAAACUCUGUUAUUAGGGAAGAACUAAUGUGUAAGUAACUAUGCACGUCUUGACGGUACCUAAUCAGAAAGCCACGGCUAACUACGUG
rnacentral:rRNA from 1 species